GGCUACGUAGCUCAGUUGGUUAGAGCACAUCACUCAUAAUGAUGGGGCCACAGGUUCGAAUCCCGUCGUAGCCACCA
rnacentral:tRNA from 5 species